CUUAUUUUCACAAUUCAUCCCAGGUAGCCUAGCGGUUAGAGCACUGGGCCAGUAACCUGAAGGUUGCUGGUUUAAAUACCCGAGCCAACGAGGUGAAAAAUCUGUUGAUGUACUCUUGAGCAAAAUGGUGAGCAAGGCACUUAACCGUAAUUUACUCAUUUGCUCCAGGGGGGCCGUACCACUACAGGGGUACCACACUACUACAAGGGUACCGUACCACUACAGGGGACCGUACCACUACAGGGGUACCGCACCACUACAGGGGUACCACACCACUACAGGGGUACCGUACCACUACAGGGGUACCGCACUACUACAGGGGUACCACACCAC
ensembl:lncRNA